UUCACAUUUCACAUAUUAGUGCCAGCUGUAUAGCGGCCAUUGUCGUCGGAAAAAUUUGAAACGUUUCUAAUUUGGCGACAGUGAAGACUUCAACCCUUUUGUCGCGAAGUCGCGUGUAUUUUAAUAUUGGACAGGUGUCGCUCGUCGCUUGUCGCCGCCUCACCCUGAAUGAGAAAAAAAAACAAACGUAGUUUUCGAGGAGUAUAUGAACAAGUUUUGUUUUAUGCUAUGCCAUGGCUGCUUGUGGAGUAUUAUUUGGCUUGUUUUAUUUAAAUCACUCAUUUUUAAAUAAGUAAAACUUAAAAUAUAAGUUUUCUAAAGCCAAAAGUUGGAAUUGAAGAGAUAUUUCAAACCUCAUACAGCACUUUAAAGGUACUCAACCUAAUUGGUAUUAGUUACGGUAGCAGUGUGGAACUUUCGAAGGAUAGGAAUAUGUGCUACAAGAAAAUCCAGAACUAUGGAUGCAAACGCUACUACAUCGAACACAAAUAAUUUACGCACCAGAUAUUAGUAUGAUACUAGAGGGCAAAGCAGUUGCAGUAUUUUUGGACUUACCGGCACCUCAGUUGGCCGUGCCAUUACCACCAAAAAUACAGCAUUCAGGAAUUAUACCUUUAUUGUAUCGCUUUACGGGGACAUGGACGUUGCCCGUGCUGGAUUUAUAAUUCCUCAUACGUAAGAAAACCUCCUCCCAGAAAUUGGAUGAAUCUAGUACUAAUGAAAUUAAUGAAAGAAGAGAUCUUACAAAAACUCCUAAAGAAACCAAAAGAGUCCUCACAUAAUAUGCAUAUCUUACACUUCCAGGCAGCAUUUGACAUUUGCCACUCUUCCUCCAGCCUUUGUCCGAUAGCGAAAAUUGUUCAACAAUUCAAUACUUUAUACAUACAUAUGCAUAUAGUGUAGUACGAUAAUAAAUGUAUAUAGUAAAUAUAAUAAUAAAUACCUAAAUAACAUUAUUUUAAUAAAUAUGUAAUAUAAUUAAUAA